rnacentral:lncRNA from 1 species
GUGCAAGGGCAGACCUGAGAAGCACUGUGCAAGAGAGUGGGCUACUGAGAGCAGAUGACUGGGUGGGCUUAGCUGCACUGCAGGGUAUGAGUGUGCUAGCUGGCUGUCUGAAGAGGAGAGGGUGAAGGAAAUAUGGCGGGAAGAACGCCCCCCUCCAUCCUCGCCGCAGCCCACCCAGCCGCGGAAUCGCAUGCGCACUGGGGACCUGGAGGAAAGGGCUUUUGUUGGGAAAUCCGGCCGACCAGAGGGGUCCGCGCAUGCGCAGGCUCCCCAGCCGCGGGGGGUGCGCGGAGAAAAGGGGCGGGGUGGUCCGAGCUGCUGUGCUGGCAGCAGUAGGCGAGGGCGCGGCUGCGGGGUUCCUGGUGCUGAGCACGGACGCCAUUGGAGCCCCAGGGAAGGACCCCCAGCACCGCGACCGUCAGACUCAAGCGCCCCUGUCCCAGCCGGGAGCUGCCCGGGUGCCUGCCAGCUCAACCGUUGUGACAGACCCUGAGCCGAGUGAGCUUCCUGAGAUCCCAGGCCCCACCCCCACCGCAUCAGUCCUAGACUACUCCAGCUGAGCUGACCGCUUGCGCCUUCCUGGAGUCCCAGUCCUUGGACCUUGAGCUGUCCAGGCAGCCAGUUCAAGCCCUACCUAGGUCCAAGGCUCCCAUCCUCUGAGCCCAACCUAGACCACAGUCAGAGAAACAGCCUGCCACCGGGUCCCGCCCCCUGCCCCUGAGGCAGAGCUCUCAGCUCCCUGGGAGCCCCAGCAUGGCUGAGGGAAGCUACAGUGUGCAAUCUGGAAACUCCAGUGUCGAAGACAUGGAUGAGGGGAGCCACCAAGUCAGGGUGGCAGAGAUGGUUGGAGGCAGCGACUAUGAAGAGUUUGGUGCCUUUGGUGGCUAUGGCACACUCACCAGCUUUGACAUCCAUCUGCUCAGAGCCUUUGACACCUUGGGUUCCGGCUUUCACAUCUUAGCGAAUGAGCCCUGGGAGCUGGAAAGUCCUGUGCUGGCUCAGACCCUGGUGGAGGCAUUGCAGCUGGAUCCAGAAACCCUUGCCAAUGAGACCGAGGCCCAUGCCGCCAGUGUCGCCCGCUCUGCCGCCUCCAACCGAGCCGCUCGGGCCGCUGCCGCUGCCGCCCGCAGGUCCAUCCGUCAGGUGGUGGCUCACCACAUGGUGCCCACACAGCCGGCCACAGGAGACGGUGCCCAGCCUGGGACAUACUCUGAGGCUCAGGGGCCCGCCCCGGAGGCAAUCCUGGUCUCACCUCCGACAUCCCAGAUGUCAGUCGUCAGUGAGAUGGCCGCCCCUGGGGCUCCAGCAGUCUCCACGCAUUCCCAGACGGCCUCCCUGGACCAGGCGGCUGCUGCCAGGGGUCCAAGUACUGCCUGUGCUGGGGGUCCUAGUCCCGCCUGUGCCGAGGGUCCCAGUACUGCCUGUGCCGAGGGUCCUAGUACUGCCUGUGCUUUCUCUCAGGCUCCAAGUGCCAGUGAAACGGAUGCCACCUGGCCCCAGGCAGGCUUCCUGGGCCAGAAGGAUGUCUUUGAUUUCACUCAGCCAGCAGGUGUCAGUGGCAUGGCCUUCACCCGCCCCAAGAGACCUGCUCCAGCCCAAGAGGCCGCCACGGAGGACCCUAGUGCCGCCUCUGGUGGGCCUCAGGCAGCACCUGCCCGGGAAGCGGCAGCCACCGGACCCAAGAACACCAAAUCUGGGAAGGCUGUGGCCAAGACUCGGUGGGUGGAGCCUCAGAAGGUUGUGACCUCAGCGGCUGCCAACAGCAAGACGGCCACAAGCAUCCCUGAG